AGUCCAGUAGUGUGGCUAGCAGGAAAAUUAAAGGGGUUUGGUGAAUCCAUUGCUCCUGCCAUCACCCAGAUUAAAGACCUGCCCUCUCAUCCGUCAGGGAUUGAGUGGGCAAGCACUGUGGGCUGCAGACACCAAGCUCCACCAUGAUUCCCCCUCCACUCUCAGAGGCUCCAUCCAGCUGGCAGGCUCACAGCACUGCAGCCCAGCAUCUGAAGUGCUGGUUUGGGUUGAGUUCUCUCAGUACCAAUACAAGGCGGAUCGAAAUCAGCAAAAUCAACACCAAAGUCACUACUACAAGAGGCAAAGCAUUAGGAUACAAGACACCGGACUUUCAAAUCAACAAUUGUUUCAAAAGACUCCUACUGGAUUCCUGCUAGUGAUGGGAGAAAAUUAUCAUUCUAUGAAAAGAAUAUGUCUAAGAUCCUGUUAACAGCAGAACUUAGACUGCUAGCCCUGCUGGAAAUUUUCCAUGCUCUUCAUUCGUUCUCCUGUAUUUCCUAACGCCAAUAAAAGAGGAGAUCCCU
rnacentral:lncRNA from 1 species